UAAGGAAUCUUGGACAAUGGGCGAAAGCCUGAUCCAGCCAUGCCGCGUGAGUGAUGAAGGUCUUCGGACUGUAAAACUCUUUUCUGAGAGAAGAACAGGCGGAGCAGGAAAUGGUUCCGUUUUGCCGGUAUCUCAGGAAUAAGCAACGGCUAACUCCGUGCCAGCAGCCGCGGUAAUACGGAGGUUGCGCGCGUUGUUCGGAAUGACUGGGCGGAAAGGGAGCGCAGCCGGUUCGAUUAGUCUGGAGUGAAA
rnacentral:rRNA from 1 species